AUUGAGCGCUGGCGGCAUGCCUUACACAUGCAAGUCGAACGGUAACGGGCCUUCGGGUGCCGACGAGUGGCGAACGGGUGAGUAAUACAUCGGAACGUGCCCGAUCGUGGGGGAUAACGAGGCGAAAGCUUUGCUAAUACCGCAUACGAUCUACGGAUGAAAGCAGGGGACCGCAAGGCCUUGCGCGGACGGAGCGGCCGAUGGCAGAUUAGGUAGUUGGUGGGAUAAAAGCUUACCAAGCCGACGAUCUGUAGCUGGUCUGAGAGGAUGAUCAGCCACACUGGGACUGAGACACGGCCCAGACUCCUACGGGAGGCAGCAGUGGGGAAUUCUGGACAAUGGGCGCAAGCCUGAUCCAGCCAUGCCGCGUGCAGGAUGAAGGCCUUCGGGUUGUAAACUGCUUUUGUACGGAACGAAAAGCCUUCUUUUAAUACAGGAGGGUCAUGACGGUACCGUAAGAAUAAGCACCGGCUAACUACGUG
rnacentral:rRNA from 1 species